rnacentral:tRNA from 1 species
UCCCUAGUAGCUUAGCUGGUAAAGCGUCCACCUGCAAUGCUGGAGAUCCCGGUUCAAUUCCUGGAUUGGGAA